UACGUAGGGGGCAAGCGUUAUCCGGAUUUACUGGGUGUAAAGGGGGCGUAGGCGGCGGGGCAAGCCUGAUGUGAAAGCCCGGGGCUCAACCCCGGGACUGCAUUGGGAACUGCCCUGCUGGAGUGCCGGAGGGGCAGGCGGAAUUCCUAGUGUAGCGGUGAAAUGCGUAGAUAUUAGGAGGAACACCAGUGGCGAAGGCGGCCUGCUGGACGGUGACUGACGCUGAGGCUCGAAAGCGUGGGGAGCAAACAGG
rnacentral:rRNA from 1 species